GGCCUUGCUCAACCCCCCUGACUGUGUCUGGAGACCACCCCCAGGAAUCUGCUGGGGCUCUGCCCUCAGAGGCUGGGACAGGUGGCACCGGCUGGAUGGGGUGGCGUGGGGGGCCACUGUGCCAGCCAGAGCCUGGCCAGGCUUCCACACUGUCCACCCUGACCCACCACCGGGGACUCAUGUUGUCAUUCAUUUUCCCCAUUCCGAGUUCUACCUCGGCACAGAUCAGAUGAUUCCAUGAUGACAACCUGUUCAUCUCAAUUGACCAGAUUCCACUGGCAAACACUCCCCUGACCUUGGCAGCUCCCUUCCAUUACCACCUCCGUGAGCCCUUGUAGUUCUGGGGCCCUGCAGGGGGGGACAAAUACUGAUGAUAAUAUUACCAGCAGCCGGCCACGAUGCUCACCGCGAAGGGGACACUGGUGUGUGCACUUCGCGUGCGUCAUCUCACAUAACCCUGUGCUGGCAGGAAACUGAGGUCUCAAGGGGGUAAGCCACCUGCCCCUAGUGACAUCCAGGAAAUGCAGGGCCCUGACUCAACCCCCACCCUUCCAGUCCCUAAACACAGGCUCAAAACCCCUUCCUAGGGACAGCUGUGCCUGCCCCUCACCAGGCACCUGAGGAGACCCUGCAGCACUCAGUUCCUCCUGUAUGCUCAGCACUGUGACUUCAAUGGCGGAACAAGACCAGAACAAACAACCUGAGUGACAGCAGGACGAGUGAAGGCUUUUACCUGUUGGAGAGACUCACAGUGCCCUGGAUGGGACCCUGCUUGAGCCAAGGAUGUCCCCUCCAUGUUCCAUGUCCAGGUGCAGCCCACUCCCCACAGUAGGUGGACAUGGCAUGCACCAGCAGAUUAA